UAACAAUCAACCGUUGUUUGACUUAAAGUAAUUCUAACCUAAUUUUGUCAACCAACAAAAGACAUCAAUCAUCGGGCUCCGGCACAACACACGAGUCAACCUAAUAUAGAGUGAAAUGAGCAAGGUAGGAUAAAGUCAGUGUUGCCAAAUCUACCGUUUUGGGUUUGUCUAGCAUAGAAGACCCAAGAAGUACCAACCCAAUGUUAUAAAACAACAUAAGGGGGGUAAUUUCGAGAUGGGGCCAUGUUGCCAUGUUGAAUACGGUGUUGCCUUUCCUUAUAGAUUACACAUAUCUCUCUCUCUUUAUAAAAGGCGGGAAAUUUUAUAUUUAAAAUUUUAUUUUUCUGACGGUAUAUAAAAAUAAAACAAUUAAAUAAUU